rnacentral:rRNA from 1 species
CCUACGGGAGGCAGCAGUGAGGAAUAUUGGUCAAUGGGCGGAAGCCUGAACCAGCCAAGUAGCGUGCGGGAUGAAGGCCCUACGGGUCGUAAACCGCUUUUGCACGGGGAUAACACCCUCCACGUGUGGCGGUCUGCAGGUAACGUGCGGAUAAGGGCCGGCUAAUUCCGUGCCCGCAGCCGCGGUAAUACGGAAGGCCCGAGCGUUAUCCGGAUUUAUUGGGUUUAAAGGGUGCGCAGGCGGCCUAUUAAGUUAGCGGUAAAAUCCCGGGGCUCAACCCCGGCGAGCCGUUGAAACUGGCGGGCUGGAGUUGGAGAGAAGUACGCGGAAUGCGCGGUGUAGCGGUGAAAUGCUUAGAUAUCGCGCAGAACCCCGAUUGCGAAGGCAGCGUACCGGCGCCACACUGACGCUGAGGCACGAAAGCGUGGGUAUCGAACAGGAUUAGAUACCCGGGUAGUC